rnacentral:tRNA from 2 species
UCUCGAUUAGUAUAGUGGUUAGUAUGCCGGCUUGUCACGCCGGAGGCCGGGGUUCGAUUCCCCGAUCGAGAG